UUGUCAGAGAUCCUACGUGUGCGACCCAUUUCCGCACAUGCGCGGUCAGUGGCCGCGGCACCCAUUCGCCGCCUAGGAAGCCGCUCCGCUGGUCCGCGUGUGUCUGUUGGUAGAGACGCCGAUUGGAGACAGUUGUGUGGGUUGACUGGAUUCGGCUGAGCCACAUAGUAUUAGCUGCAAUUACUCACAGGACGGCAGUCAGCUGGGAGCUCAUCAAAACAGCCCCUAGGGCCUCCCUUUCCACCUGGCUUAUUAUCAAUCAAGCUUCUGCAGGAUAACUUGCUUCUUAGAGGACAUGGCUCCAGUGAGCGAAUACUUAUUAAGCCUUUGCUAAUGACCCAUUGGCCAAAGCAAGUCAUAUGGCCCAGCCCGGAAUCAAUGUGGGAAGAGACUGUACAAGGUCGUGAAUUAAAGUCAUGGUUCAUUGGGAGCCACCAAUGUAACAGCCAACCAAGACUUCUGAGGUCCCAGCACUUUCCACAGGACCUGGCACACAGGGUUAGGGAAAUGAAACCCUCUUGCUAUAUUGGAUCUGCAUGGCAACAACACGGAGGAGUUAAGUAACAACUACCUUUUUUAUACAAAGCAGGUACUCUUGAUUUCCACUGUCACCAUCCCUCCCUUUUGUCUUAUAUCUGCGUGCUUUACUCAUUUAAAUCGUGUGCCUAACCCGUAUAGAUACUUGAGUUUACAGCCCUUGGCAUUGAAACUGUAAUGGAAGUAACUCAAGGUUUCUUUCCUUUUAUUAAAACCAUAUCCCACAUUAAGAGGAAAAAA